GCAAGUCGAACGAGAUUUUUUAGACAGAAGCUUCGGUGGAAAUUUAAAAAUGAGAGUGGCAAACGGGUGCGUAACACGUGAGCAAUCUGCCCUAAAGAUCGGAAUAGCUCGAGGAAACUCGAAUUAAUGCCGGAUGUGAUACAAAUACUCAUGUAUUUAGUAUUAAAGCUUGAAAUGGCGCUUUAGGAGGAGCUCGCGGCCUAUCAGCUUGUUGGUGAGGUAAAGGCUCACCAAGGCGACGAUCCGUAGCUGGUCUGAGAGGACGAUC
rnacentral:rRNA from 1 species